rnacentral:rRNA from 1 species
GUCCUAGCCGUAAACGGUGCACGUUUGCUGUAAAAGGAAUCGACCCCUUUUGUGGCGUAGCCAACGCGAUAAACGUGCCGCCUGGGAAGUACGGUCGCAAGAUUAAAACUCAAAGAAAUUGACGGGGGCCUGCACAAGCGGUGGAGUAUGUGGCUUAAUUCGAUGCAACGCGAAGAACCUUACCUGGCCUUGACAUGCAAGUAGUAGAAGGAUGAAAGUCUGACGAGGUAGCAAUACCAGCUUGCACAGGUGCUGCAUGGCUGUCGU